CUGUCCUUCCACAAGCAGGCAAAGACUGUUCUCUUCAGCUUCCUUACAGCUCCUGCACUCUGAAAGAUUCAGCACGCAACCCAAGAGAAGAAAAUAUGAUACGCCACCGUUAACAGUUGCCCUGACAACAGGGACAUAUCCUAAUCAAAAGGAGGUCCACGAAUGUCGUCUCCUCAGCUGCAGGAAAGCAGCCUGCCGGAAUGUCCUCUCUCUCUCUCUCUCUCUCUCUCUCUCUCUCUCACACACACACACACACACACACACACACACACACACACACACACACACUUUGCACACUGGCUGCUGAGGCAAAGCAAGCAGGGCCCGAAGAAAGGCUGAAACCACCUAGCAAGCUGGGCUGCUCCUUCUUCCCUCAGAGACGGGUGGAGAAUGGAUGGAAGCGAUGGCUUACACAAGUGGAGAAGUUCUGAGGACAGGAAGCUGACAAGCCUCCAGGCAGACUGAUUGAAGCUACAACUAGAGGCACAGGAACAGUGACUUCUCUUGGCUACACCGCCCCCCUGCACAAACACACAGUUUCAGCACCCAGUGUUGCAGUAUUUGCACUAGAUAAGCAACAUUUCAUGAUUCCCCUCUACAAGGAUCAACACUUCUGAGCUAAUGAGUUAUUUUCAGACAAAUCUCACACAGUACACAA